GAAGACUACAAGUUAACACUCAAAGAAUAAGGAAUCCAGUCUCCUUUAACACUUCAGCAUGAAUCUUUCACCACAUAUAGUCUAUAUUGGUUUGCCAAGUACUCCGUCCUUUUCACAAAGGUUGGCGUAAUUUGUUUCGUUAAGAAAAGACUUUGGCCAAUGAAAACUCUAUUGAUAUGUGUUUUUUCAUACAUGAGAUCAUGGUUUCGUAUCAUAGGACGUACAUAUUAAUAGAGUAAUUCUUGGUCAAAAGCUUGUAUUAACGAAACCAAAUAUGCCAACCUUUGUGAAAUGGAGGGAGUAGUUCACAGGAGAUAUAAAAAAGUUAUAUGAAUAGACUCCCAACCCAAGCUCAUAUUGGUUGGCGAAUAUACUCCCAACUCAUCAAACAGAUGCUUCAAUCCGAACCCCCAGUGCACAUCCCAUUCAACACCCGAGUCUCUAUUCUAGACAUGGCGAAGAAGAAGAAAAACAGAAGCGAACUCUGUUCAGCCAUUAGAGCACAAUAAGCAGUUCCUGGAAGCAGCUCCAUACCAUGUAAUGUUCACAUCAAAAUAAGAAAAAGAGUAUGAGAAUAUAUUUGCCAAAUAAUAUAAACAGAUAUGUGGCCUUCAGAAAUAAAAUUCUCAUUUCUAUGCUACGUAAAAGCUGAAACCUCAUGAAACAAUCAAAGUUAUUUUAUUCUUCUAUGUUAACAUAGUUAGUAUUUAUAUACCAAUUACACAUAACAGAAAAACCAACCACUUGUUAAAGAUAUCGAAAAUUAUUUAUGCUCUCUGCUUACUUUAGAAGUGCAGCCGUUUCCUUUGAGGAGGUUAUCUCUGUAAUAAGAGACUGAAGGUCUGUCCCCCUGGUCCCUGACCAGCACCCUCUGUGGUUCAGUGAGCACCUCCAUGACCAACAACUGAAACAUGACGAAAACAUGUAUAAUCACACCUUAAGUUUCACUGAGCCUCCAAUAUUUUCCUAGCAUAUGCAGGGCAGUUUGGCCUUGCGGUAUCUCUAGGAAAUAUAAGUGUCACAUGGAAAAUUAGAAAUUGUGUAAGCAUAACACUCAUACUGGACGCCGUUCCCCGUGGGGCACUUGCACACUCUGCACCCGUACGUCUUCAUUACACUCAGUAGCAUCCAAUCGCCAUCUUAUCUAAUUUAGCAUUUAAGCUAAGCCAGUUAUCGGGAAAAAAUUACUUAUGAGCAGUGUUGAUACAUGGAGUUUCCAGAACUUUUAAAAGCAAAAGUUUGCCAUGGAGUUUCCAGAAAUUAAAGACGCAAAUUAUUUGUAGUGAAUUCAAAUAAUCAC
rnacentral:lncRNA from 1 species